rnacentral:rRNA from 1 species
AGCGGCGAACGGGUGAGUAACGCGUAUGCAACCUACCUUAUACAGGGGAAUAGCCCGAAGAAAUUCGGAUUAAUGCUCCAUGGUUUAUCGAUAUGGCAUCGUAUUGAUAAUAAAGAUUUAUCGGUAUAAGAUGGGCAUGCGUAUCAUUAGCUAGUUGGUGUGGUAACGGCAUACCAAGGCAACGAUGAUUAGGGGUCCUGAGAGGGAGAUCCCCCACACUGGUACUGAGACACGGACCAGACUCCUACGGGAGGCAGCAGUGAGGAAUAUUGGUCAAUGGAGGCAACUCUGAACCAGCCAUGCCGCGUGCAGGAUGACGGUCCUAUGGAUUGUAAACUGCUUUUGUACAGGAAGAAACCUCUCUACGAGUAGAGACUUGACGGUACUGUAAGAAUAAGGAUCGGCUAACUCCGUGCCAGCAGCCGCGGUAAUACGGAGGAUCCGAGCGUUAUCCGGAAUUAUUGGGUUUAAAGGGUUCGUAGGCGGCUUUGUAAGUCAGUGGUGAAAUUUCCUAGCUUAACUAGGACACUGCCAUUGAUACUGCAGAGCUUGAAUAAUAUGGAAGUAACUAGAAUAUGUAGUGUAGCGGUGAAAUGCUUAGAUAUUACAUGGAAUACCAAUUGCGAAGGCAGGUUACUACGUAUUUAUUGACGCUGAUGAACGAAAGCGUGGGGAGCGAACAGGAUUAGAUACCCUGGUAGUCCACGCCGUAAACGAUGGAUACUAGCUGUUCGGUUUUCGGACUGAGUGGCUAAGCGAAAGUGAUAAGUAUCCCACCUGGGGAGUACGUUCGCAAGAAUGAAACUCAAAGGAAUUGACGGGGGCCCGCACAAGCGGUGGAGCAUGUGGUUUAAUUCGAUGAUACGCGAGGAACCUUACCAGGGCUUAAAUGUAGAUUGACAGAUUUGGAAACAGAUUUUUCUUCGGACAAUUUACAAGGUGCUGCAUGGUUGUCGUCAGCUCGUGCCGUGAGGUGUCAGGUUAAGUCCUAUAACGAGCGCAACCCCUAUUGUUAGUUACCAGCGCGUUAAGGCGGGGACUCUAGCAAGACUGCCGGUGCAAACCGUGAGGAAGGUGGGGAUGACGUCAAAUCAUCACGGCCCUUACGUCCUGGGCUACACACGUGCUACAAUGG